UUUUAUUUUGGGGGAAAGGGGGGGAUGACGUAAAAUCAUCAUGCCCCCUUAUGCUCGGGGUUACACACGUGUUAAAAUGGGGCAACCAAAGAGAAAGGGACCUCGCGAGAGCAACAAAUCUUCAAAAAAACGUUCCAGUUCCGGAUUCAGGUUGCAACCCGCCUACCAGAAAUUGGGAAUGCUUGUUAUUGCGGGUCAGAAUUGCGCGGUGAAUACGUUCCCGGGCCUUGUACACCCCCCCCGUCCCCCCCUGGGAGUCGGGAACCCCCGAAGCCGGUGAGCUAACCGCAAGGAGGCAGCCGCCGAAGGCAUAAUUGAUGACUGGGGGAAGUCGAACAAGAGCCAGGG
rnacentral:rRNA from 1 species